AACGAACGCUGGCGGCAGGCUUAACACAUGCAAGUCGAGCGCCCCGCAAGGGGAGCGGCAGACGGGUGAGUAACGCGUGGGAACGUACCCUUUGCUACGGAAUAGCUCCGGGAAACUGGAAUUAAUACCGUAUGUGCCCUACGGGGGAAAGAUUUAUCGGCAAAGGAUCGGCACGCGUUGGAUUAGCUAGUUGGUGGGGUAAUGGCCUACCAAGGCGACGAUCCAUAGCUGGUCUGAGAGGAUGAUCAGCCACAUUGGGACUGAGACACGGCCCAAACUCCUACGGGAGGCAGCAGUGGGGAAUAUUGGACAAUGGGCGCAAGCCUGAUCCAGCCAUGCCGCGUGAGUGAUGAAGGCCUUAGGGUUGUAAAGCUCUUUCACCGGAGAAGAUAAUGACGGUAUCCACAGAAGAAGCCCCGGCUAACUUCGUGCCAGCAGCCGCCGUAACAC
rnacentral:rRNA from 1 species